rnacentral:rRNA from 1 species
UACGGGGGGGGCAAGCGUUGUUCGGAAUUACUGGGCGUAAAGGGCGCGUAGGCGGCCUGCUAAGUCGGAUGUGAAAUCCCUCGGCUCAACCAAGGAAGUGCAUCCGAAACUGCUGAGCUUGAGUACUUAAGAGGAUCGCGGAAUUCCCGGUGUAGAGGUGAAAUUCGUAGAUAUCGGGAGGAACACCGGUGGCGAAGGCGGCGAUCUGGGUCGAUACUGACGCUGAGGUGCGAAAGCGUGGGGAGCAAACAGG